rnacentral:misc_RNA from 1 species
GAUGAAGAACGCAGCGAAAUGCGAUAAGUAAUGUGAAUUGCAGAAUUCAGUGAAUCAUCGAAUCUUUGAACGCACAUUGCGCCCCUUGGUAUUCCGAGGGGCAUGCCUGUUCGAGCGUCAUUAUAACCCCUCAAGCUCAGCUUGGUGUUGGGGCCUGCUGCACUGGCAGCCCUUAAAAUCAGUGGCGGCGCCAUCUGACUCUAAGCGUAGUAAUUCUUCUCGCUAUGGAGUCCUGGUGGAUGCUUGCCAUCAACCCCCAAUUUUUCUAUGGUUGACCUCGGAUCAGGUAGGGAUACCCGCUGAACUUAAGCAUAUCAAUAAGCGGAGGA